AGCGUGGGAGCCGAGGCCACGUUCCCGCAGCUGUGAGGGCAGCUCGCUUGUAGCAGCCCUGGGAGCACGUGGUAGGGAAGGGGAGCCAGGGCCAGCACUGACAAGGGAGAAUCGCGGCGCCAAGGUCCCUUUGCGCACAGCCCAAAUUCGAAGGACGCGUUUCCCUGGGAACGUCCCUGGAGGACGGGGAAUCUGUAUGCCAUUACCAGCCAUUGAACCACCCCUGCUCUCGGUGCCUGUUUCCAGCAGGCUCACCCCAGAAACACAAGGUGCUUAAGACGGGUUCGCGGCGCAUGGGGCUGCCGACCACCUGACGGCGGGCACCAGCUCCGCAGAUGCGCAUUCAUCCAACUGCAGGCGCUGCACUCAAAGGCGUGUAGGCCCUGAGCCUGUAUAACUUCCUCUGGACCCACGCAAUUCCCUUGGAGAGCGCCAGGCACGACCCUGCUGUGGCUUCUAACUACAAGGCUUCCCUCAGGUGGACAGGCCCACCCCUCAGGGAGACUAGGAUAAGAGGACACCACACACCCGGACAUCAGCGGAGCAUGUCCAGCACCCAGCACACAAAGGCCUCCUGCAUCUCAGAAACUCAGAGAAGCAGCCGCCUCACACCACCCCCGGUCCCUCCCGUCCCUCAGCUGCAACCACCUGCCCACUUUUUCUGCCUCCCGUCUCUGGUCAGCCCAGGCCGUCUUGGCCGGGGUCCACCCACUCCAAAAACCACCACAGUUGUGGCGUUGCCUCCUCGCCAGACAGAGAUAGAGGGCCAACAAUGAAGGGUGACUGGCCAAAUGUCUGGGAGAUGGCCCUGUUCCACAUUGUCUGUGUUCUUGCGAAAUUGCAAGGCGUCACGAGGCUUGCCCACCCAAUCCUCUGGAGAGUUCUUGCGCAGAGGUAGAUUGUUUGGCACACGAGAUGUCGGCGUGGGUCGGAAAGCAUGCGGAAGUCCUGCUUUGCUACGUGAUGGAUUUGCAGGUCAGGCUGGGGAGCCUGGGUCUGUGGGAGGAGUCCAGUGUCUGAGUCAGUUUGAGGUCCCCCUGGGGACCAGGGUUGUCUCAGUGGGAGAGCUGGGAAGGGGAAACUCAUGGUUCACUACAGCUAGUAGGCCACCUCAGCCCAGCUAGUUGAGAUGGUCCCAUUGAAUCCAUCCUCUUUCUCCUUGAUCCGGCAGGUGGAGGAACUCAGCCAUCCCGGUUACCGGUGGCAGGAUGAUUUCCUUUCAUCCCAACCUUUAUUUCCACAGUGAAAUCAUCAUGAAGGAGCACUGUGUUGGCAUCCUCGGCUACAGGGUGUCUCAUUCCACUGCAGUCCAGCGGUUCUGGGAUCACGAAGGUCAAGCCUCCAGCUGCAGGCAGUACACCUCCUACCUGAGCUCAUUCAGCUGUUUGGCUGAACAUGACUGCCCGGGUUUUGGCAGGAUUGCUGAGAUAUGGGAGUUAGCCUGUGAGCAUGUUUUCGAAUACGGA